rnacentral:rRNA from 1 species
UGAGGAAUAUUGGUCAAUGGGCGGAAGCCUGAACCAGCCAUGCCGCGUGCGGGAAGGAGGCCCUACGGGCCGUGAACCGCUUUUGCUGGGGGGCAAUAAGGGGGUUUCGUACCCCCGACGAGCGUACCCCGCGAAUAAGCAUCGGCUAACUCCGUGCCAGCAGCCGCGGUAAUACGGGGGAUGCGAGCGUUAUCCGGAUUCAUUGGGUUUAAAGGGUGCGUAGGCUGUGCGUCAAGUCAGGGGUGAAAUUCCGUCGCUCAACGUCGGUUGUGCCCUUGAUACUGUCGCGCUGGAGUGCGGGUGCCGCCGGAGGAAUGAGUGGUGUAGCGGUGAAAUGCAUAGAUAUCACUCAGAACACCGAUUGCGAAGGCAUCCGGCGAAUCCGCCACUGACGCUGAGGCACGAAAGCGUGGGGAUAGAACA